rnacentral:lncRNA from 1 species
UCUGAAUUAUUAACUCGUGCUAUUCUGAAUAAUGACAAACUUAAUUCAUAUCGCAGGAAAUCAAGGAACAAGAUCUAGAGAAUGAUAUGGAUCAGCAGCUUCACCCAAGGAGGCAGAUGGAUUCUGGAUACUGAUACAAAUCAGCAGCAUCCACCAAGGAGAUAGAUUGAUACAAUCAAACAAUCUAAAAGAUUGACUCAAUAAGAUAUCAUCCAACUAGAAGACCACAUCAAUUCGCAUGAAGCCAAAAAGGAAAAGGCAAGUGUUAGACAAUCAAGAUGACAAGUAGAUCAAGGAAGAUCACACUGUGAUACCGAGCAACAAGCCAAGAUUCACAUCAGACUCUGUUUCAAGGCAGAAGUUUGAGUGCUGCAACCUAAUCAAGGAAAAUACACACUUAAUCAAAGAAACAUUACAAACCCUUGAUUGAAGGAAACUCCCUUGAAUUUUUCUAUUAGAGCUAAAAUCAUGACAUACUCAGCAUAUAAAUAAAGACCCGAAUCAACAGCUGAAAGUGCGCAACUUCACUUGAACUUAUAUUAUAAUCUUCUUUCAUCUUUCAUAAAGUUUUGUACACUUUGAGUGUACAAUUGAAAAAAAAAAAGAGAAGGAAAGAUAUUGAGUGUAGGUUAUACAGGUAGAUGUCGUGUCAAGAUAGAAACUAUGAUUUGCAUAUCAGACUGGAUUCAAGAUCAAACUCACUGUACAACCACAAUUUUCUUCAAGAUCUAAAGGAAACCCUUGAAACCCAAGGGAAUUGGAAGUAGGCACCACAUCAGUGUUCUGAACCAACAUAAAACAUCCUGUGUCAAUUUACUUUAUGUAUUUACUCUUAUUUUAUACUGUGAUACUAACCUGUAGGUGAGUCGACUAAAGAAAUUUUUAAUUCACCCCCACCCCCUUAACUUUCAUGGGUCAGGUCUUGGGUCAGAUUUCAGGGUCGGAUUUUGGAACGGUCGUCGAAGUCGUGUCCUAGUUUGGGUGUUAGGGUCGGGUCCUUAAUCGAUUAUCGAGGUUGCUUUUCGGGUCAGAAAUUAUUUUUCUAAAGAGUAUUUUGUUGUCUCAAGACAAAAAUAAAAGAUAUUUUCUAGAAAUGUUUUUCAUUCACUAACCAAAUAUUAAAAAAUAUUUUUUCUUCACCAACCAAACAUGAGAAAUCAAGUUAGAAAUCCACUUGUUUUCCAAGAAACAUUUUUUUGAAAAACAUUUUCAUUUGUACCAAACACAUCCUUGGAGAACUUCUUUUUCUGCUUCUGUCGUCUUAUUGACAAGGCUGCCACUAAGGUCAAUUGGAUUGAUAGUUAUACAGAAGUAAGUGACAUAUUUGUAGUUUUGUAUUAUUUCAAUAAUUGGGACUUGGGAGAAUGAAGGAAGACUCCAAAAAAAGUUAUUUGCACUCAACUUAGAUGAGGGUAGCUUCAUUAUUAACUUGAAUCAGAAUUGAAUUCAAGGAUACAAUCAAAUUCUGAAGUGAUAUAAUAAUCUUGAUAUACUAUUGCUGAUCCAACUCAAAAAUAUAUAAUUCAACUCUAAGUUAAGCAAACGAGAUCAAAUUUUAAGUAGCGUAUUUUGUGUUCUCACAAUGAUUAACAAUUACAAAUAUGUAUCUAGUUCAAAUAAUCUUAUGGUUAAACCUAUGCUGUAAUUUUUCAUCAAGUGUCCCCUAAUCCCCCAGUAAUCCUUAAGAAGGUUGGAAUUAAUUUCUUUGUCACUUUACUAAACUUUAAUUUGAUUAUAAAAACAUUACUUGUCGUUCUAAUUUGGAGUUAGAAGCUUAAAUGGUCAUUUAACUUUAAGUAAUUGGUCAUCGUGCUCAAUUUUGUUGUUUUUCAAAAGUCACUCAACUUUGUCACUUAAAACCCGUUUGGAUUGAUUUAAAAAAAAGUAGCCUUUGAGUCAAAAAUAAAAGUCAAACUUAAAUGACUUUUAAAUAAAAAAAUAACUUAAAUGAUUUUUUAAGUAAAAAAAUAAAAAGUAGAGGAGACCUACUUUUGGUUUUUAAUUUAUUUUAAGUCAUUUUAAAUUUAUUUUAAGUUAUUUUUAAUAUUGUCAAACACUUCCUAACUUAUUUGAAGUCAUUUUUUUGACUUAUUUUAAAUUAUUUUUAUAUUUGUCAAACCCUUUCAGAAGUCAAAAACUGAUUUAAAAGUAAAUUUGACCAACUUUUAUGUCAAUCUAAACACUCUCUUAGUUAGCUUUCAUGGUCAUUAUUUCCAGAAAUAUAACUUUCGAUACCUAUUUAAUGAUGUUCAUGAAACUGUAAGUUUUUAGAAAAAAAAUAAAUUUAAAAUUAAAAUCAAUAUUUAAUUAUUGGAUUCUCAGUCAAUUUUUUUAAUUAUAUUUUUGUUCUUUAAUUUUUUUUUCUUCUUGUUCAUUAAUCGAAUUUAAUAAGAUAUUGUCUUGGGUGUGAGUAUUUUGGAUAUGUUGCGGGAUAUACUCAAACAGUCACAUUCAUCAAUAAGGUGUUAUUAAUGUAUCUUUUAGAUUUUUCUUGAGUAAUGUGAUUAAUGAAGAAAAAUUAGCAUUUUAAAAUAAUAAUAAUAAUAAUAAUAAUAAUAAUAAUAAUAAUAAUAAUAAUAAUAAUAAUAAUAAUAAUAAUAAUAAUAAUGAGAUAUCCAUUUUUUAAAUUUAAAAAAACUACCUUUUUCAAAAUUUGCGGAAUUAAUUUUUAAAAAAUUUCAAAAAUUGUGAAACCUUAAAACUUCUAUAGUAUCAAAAUGAUGAUAUCAAUCAAUUAUAUAAAAUACGAAUUUGACUAUGUAAGUAUCCUGAUAACAUAUUUAAAAUAGUCAUAUUCAAAACAACAGCUUAUUAAUUCAAUUAAUGAAGAAUAAUGAGAGAGAGAAAAUAAAAAUAACGCUAAGAUAAAAUGCUUUAUUGAAUUAUAGAAAACACGAAUUUAACUAAUUUAGUGUAUCCCGUAACAUAUCUAAACCGUUCAUACUCACAACACCACCCUACUAAAUUCGAUUAACGAAGAAUAACAAGAAAAAUAAAAACAAAUUAAAGAGCAAGAAAAUAAUAUGUAAAAAAUUGACUUAGAACACAAUAAUUAAAUAUUUGUUUUAAUUUUUUAAAGUGUUUUUUUCUAAAAGUUUACAAGCUUUCCCGUCAUUAAAUAGAUACCAAAAAUUACAUUUUUGGGAAUAAUUACCAUAAAUGUUAACUAACUAUCCAAAAUUGAGUGACCAUCCAAGCUUCUAACUCUUCCAUUUUACUUCCUCCGUUCUUUUUACUUGUUACUGUAUGACUUGGCACAUCCAUUAAGAAAAUAAUUAUUGAUAUAUGUAUUUUACCAAACUUUCCCUAUUGAAUGGUACCUGUUUAGUAUUAGGUCUUAGAAAAUGAUUUGGAGAAUAAAUAUUUAAAGCUAAGGGUAAAACAUGAGAAAAAUUAAUUAUUUUUUCUUGAAAUAUCAAAAGUAACAAGUAAAAAUGAAAAAUUUAUCUUAGGAAUAAAUGACAAAUAAAAAUAAACGGAGGAAGUAACUCACAUCAAUUAAAAUUUUCCUUGUCCUCAAGGAAGAAAAUUUCGAAAAUAAACCAAUAGUGUUGAUAAUCUUCCCAAGUAGCCUGGUGUGCAGGUAACUUAUCCCAUUGAAUUGAUUCUUGGCCCACAACCUUGUCUCCCUUUUGUACCAUGCACCGAUGCAAGAUAUUUUGAGGUUAAGGACAAUAUAAUAAUUAAUUAGGACUUGAAAGCUCAAUUACAUGUACAUCAGAAAUAGUGUCAAGCAAGCUAUGACAAAACAACUUCAAAAAAUGAUGACCAUACAUAGAAAUUUUAUCUAUAUAUAUAAGGUUGUAUCUUUAGAUGGACUUGAUUUCCCCUCCUAAAAUUGUCUUAUCUGAUUUUUGUUUGUUAUGGUUGAAAAUUAUUUUCAGUUAUUGGAGUAAUUUUCAUUUUAGUAAAAUAAGGUGUAGGUUUAUAAUGAUUUGAAUUUUAAAUUUGUUGAAAUAUUAUAGAUUUUUAAUCUUUUAUAAUUUUCAAUUGACACUAAAAAAAAAAAAAAAAAGAACCUUUUUGUGGCGACAAAAAUCGCCACGGAAAGUCAAAAUAUCGCCACGAAUAACCUGUUGUGGCGACCACGGAUUGUUGGCUAUAUACUACGUGGCUGAUACUUUUCCGUGGCACUAACACAAGUCGCCACCAAAGGUUUAGUUUUUGUGGCGAGUAAUUCCACCACAAAAAUGUAUUAAAGUGCCACGAAAAUCACCUAACAAAAACGUAAAAUAUUGGGAAAAAGUGAAUAAUUAUUUAGUUUUUUAAUUCAAUUAUUUAAUGACAAUUACAAUACUCAACUUCUUUUCGAUAUUACUUCAUCCCAUUGUUUUUUAUUUUAUUUUAGUUUUGCUCUCUCGGUGACUCAAACUCACAACCUUAAGGAGCUUACCAUCCGAGCAACUCUCUCUUGUCUGCCAAUAUUUAUUUUAUUUUUAACUUCAUUCACUUUUUUCAAAUUUAACUUCUACGAAAAUAAUAUAGUAUAUCAUCAUCUAUACAUAUACACAAACAAACAUACGAAAAUUACCACCCAUAUUUCAUUCAAAUUUAGACUAGAUUUGAUGUCUGCCAAUAACUAGCAAGAGUUUUCAUGAUAAAUUUUUCUCAAUAUAAACAUGAAAAAACUAAAAAAACAACAAUAAUAUUGAUAGUAAAAAGAGUAAGGAUAACAAAAGCAAAAGAAACAACUGUAGAAAUUAAUGGAAGAUAAUGAUAAUAAUGAAAUAAUUAAUACUAAGAAGGAGAAGAGGGAGCAGAUAAGGUCCACCAAACUAGAAACAUGAUUUCCCACAAAGAAGGGAAAUCAUUCGACUAUGUAUACCUACUAACCUUCUAUUCAGGGGUGGAGCUAUUCUUGCACGCUCAAAAGGUUUCAAGAGACACGUUUUUGUAGGAAAAUUAUAUUGUACAAGUAUUGACCUCCUCUUGACAUAAGUAAUUAUGCCUUCAUAUUUGAUGUUUGCAUCAUAUAUAUAUAUCACUCCUUUAAUAUCGUAAUCAACGUAUUUAUCUGUUUCAGACCAAAACUUAUUAGUAGUGAUUCUCGUAAAACAGAUUUACCAGAAUUAACUCAAAUAUGGUGUUGACACCAUCAUUAUGUACCAAAACAGAAUCAACAUGUACACCAUCAACAUCUAAAAAAAAAAACUCAUGAAUGAUACCAAAAAUUAACAUAAUUACACCAAAAUAGAAAAAAUAUGUGCACCAUCAUCAUGUACAAAAAGAAAAAAAAAACUAUGAACGAAACCAAAAAAAUCAGAAUUACACCAAACACCAACUAUGAACGAUAAAUUUCACCAAAUCACAUACCAAAACACAGAAUCACAAAAAAUCAAGUUUGAAUGACACCAAAAAUACCAGAAUCACACCAAACUAAUAAAAACGAUCUAUUUCACUAAAUCAAUUACCAAAACACAUAAGCAGUAAAUAUGAUUUAUAUUCUAAACCCCAAAACCAUACAAAACAAACAAAAUGAGUUAAAAAAGAUUCUGAAAACACGGAAUUAGUGAGAAUUAAAAAAUAAAACAAAACAGAAACUCGAAAUUGGUGAAUAACAACAACAAACCAUUUUUCAACAUUAAUUAUACUACUCGUUAUUGAUAUAAUUUAAUUUUAUAAAAUUGGUUUUUAACGUUGUUUUUUCGAUUGUAACACAAAAAAAAGCCCAUAUCAAACAUGGUAUACUACAACAUAAUCAUCAUGAUUAUUAGAUAAAUCACGUAAAAAAACACAAAUUAAAUAUUGAAUUAUCAAUAAUACCUGAUGCGUCUCAACGUUCUUUAUGUUGAAUUAGGAUUGAAUAACUGUUGGUAUCCAUGAUUGAUCUGUCGACCAGAAUGAGUAGAAAGAGAGGUUUUUUAUUUUUGUCAAGAAUCCUUUUAUUGAUAGGAGAGAAUAUAUAUAACCAAUUUGAGAAAAUCAUGG